rnacentral:lncRNA from 1 species
CUUUAUGAAAACAGCCCCUUGUCAUUUGGGUCGUCAAAAGAUGUCUGAGGGCACUAAUACGCUUAAAGGAUCAGCCAGGAAAUAGGGGCCUCUCAGGUGACAAGGAGGCACAACCCUAACCAACCCCGAUCUGUUCUCAGCUUCACAGGAGGCCCUGUUUUGAGAGGUGCAUGAACAUGUGGCUCACGUUCAACAACAAACACUCAGGAGAGGGGACAGAAUGUUCAGGACACACCGAAUUUCCAAGACGUACAGAUCUCUCCAAGCAUCCCAAAAGGCGUAUGUUCCUGGUGGGGCCGAGGGCCUGCUCUUGGAGACAGAUGGCGAGCAGCGGUCAGCAGCUACUGAGAGCUCAACUUCCCCUCUAGAGACAGGCUCUGCCGCUCAAGUCCACCUGGGUCUUGGCUCUCUGAAUCCUGUCCGAGGGUGGCGAACUUGAGGCCCUCCUCCCUGCCCCCAGUGUCUCACCUCUG